rnacentral:rRNA from 1 species
AAAAAGCUCGUAGUUGGAUUUCUGUGUUGGUGAGGCGGCUGGCCACUCGUGGUUGUAGCUAGUUAUCACCGGCGCAUCUUGUCACAAGCCACGCUGGCCUUAACUGGUUGGCGCUGGGGACUGACUCGUUUACUUUGAGAAAAUUAGAGUGUUCAAAGCAGGCUAUCGCCUUGAAUAUGUUAGCAUGGAAUAAUGAUAUAGGACUUUGGUUCUAUUUUGUUGGUUGUUCGAGAACCGAAGUAAUGAUUGAUAGGGACAGUUGGGGGCAUCAGUACUCUGAAGCGAGAGGUGAAAUUCUUGGACCUUCGGAAGACUAACAACUGCGAAAGCAUUUGCCUAGGAUGUUCUCUUUAAUCAAGAACGAAAGUUGGGGGAUCGAAGACGAUCAGAUACCGUCGUAGUCUCAACUAUAAAC